rnacentral:rRNA from 1 species
UUAAGCUAGAAAGAGCGCAGGGUGGAUGCCUUGGCACUAAGAGCCGAUGAAAGACGUGAUAAGCUGCGAAAAGCUUCGGGGAGGAGCAAAUAUCCUUUGAUCCGGAGAUCUCUGAAUGGGGAAACCUACUUGAGUGCACCUCAAGUGACGUAUGGUGAAUACAUAGCCAUACGCCGGGAACCCGGUGAACUGAAACAUCUAAGUAGCCGGAGGAAGAGAAAGAAACAUCGAUUCCGAAAGUAGCGGCGAGCGAAAUUGGAAGAGCCCAAACCGGAAUGCGUGCAUUCCGGGGUUAUGGACCACGUUAUGUGACCCGUAUGGUAAUGGAACAGUCUGGGAAGUCAGACCAGAGAGGGUGAAAGUCCCGUACAUGAAACCAGAAGGGAGCUAGUGGGAUCCAGAGUACUGCGAGACACGUGGAACCUUGCAGGAAGUCGGGGGGACCACCCCCCAAGGCUAAAUACUCCUUAGUGACCGAUAGCGCAUAGUACUGUGAAGGAAAGGUGAAAAGGACCCCGGGAGGGGAGUGAAAGAGAACCUGAAACCCUGUGUUUACAAGCUGUGGAAGCACGUUAAGGUGCGACCGCGUACUUUUUGUAGAACGGUCCGGCGAGUUGCGGAUGCUGGCAAGGUUAAGCACUAAAGGUGCGGAGCCGAAGCGAGAGCAAGUCUGAAUAGGGCGUCAAGUCAGCAUGUGCAGACCCGAAACCGGGUGAUCUAUCCAUGUCCAGGUUGAAGCGAAAGUAAAAUUUCGUGGAGGACCGAACGCACAUCCGUUGAAAAGGGUGGCGAUGAGGUGUGGAUAGGGGAGAAAUUCCAAUCGAACCCGGAGAUAGCUGGUUCUCCUCGAAAUAGCUUUAGGGCUAGCCUCGUAUUAGUCUGGUGGAGGUAGAGCACUGAAUUUCCUAGGGGGCGUCAAAGCCUACCGAAGAAUAUCAAACUCCGAAUGCCAUACAGAUGAUGUACGGGAGUCAGACGGCACGAGAUAAGUUGGGUCGUCAAAAGGGAAAGAGCCCAGACCUGCAGCUAAGGUCCCAAAGUGUGUGUUAAGUGGAAAAGGAUGUGGGAUUUCAAAGACAACUAGGAUGUUGGCUCAGAAGCAGCCACACAUUCAAAGAGUGCGUAAUAGCUCACUAGUCGAGAGGUCCUGCGCCGAAAAUGUCCGGGGCUGAAACACAACACCGAAGCUCAGGAAUGUAUUUAUACAUUGGUAGAGGAGCAUUCUUAAAGGGGCGAAGCAGUACCGAUAAGGAGCUGUGGACUUUUAAGAAGAGAGAAUGCCGGAAUGAGUAGCGAGAUGGAGGUGGGAAUCCUCCAGGCCGAAUAUCUAAGGUUUCCAGGGUAAAGCUGAUCUGCCCUGGGUAAGUCGGGGCCUAAGGCAAGGCUGAGAAGCGUAGCUGAUGGACAACAGGUUUAGAUUCCUGUACCACAUGGUAUCAGAACUGUGGGGACGCAGAGGGAUAAGAUGACCGGGGGACAGAUUCCCGGGCAAGCGCAGGAGGUGUCAGGCAGGCAAAUCCGUCUGACAAGCCAAAGGCGUGACGCGGACCGAACUCAAGUAGGGAAGCAUCCGAUUCCAGCUGCCGAGAAAAGCCGCUAUUGUGUAUCAUGUGCCCGUACCGUAAACCGACACAGGUGGAUGAGGAGAGAAUCCUAAGGCCGGCGGGAGAAGCAUUGUUAAGGAACUCGGCAAAAUGACCCCGUAACUUCGGGAGAAGGGGUGCUCUUAGAAAUAAGAGCCGCAGAGAAUUGGCCCAAGCAACUGUUUAGCAAAAACACAGGUCUAUGCAAAACCGAAAGGUGAGGUAUAUGGGCUGACGCCUGCCCGGUGCUGGAAGGUUAAGAGGAGAGGUUAGAGCAAUCGAAGCUUUGAAUUGAAGCCCCAGUAAACGGCGGCCGUAACUAUAACGGUCCUAAGGUAGCGAAAUUCCUUGUCGGGUAAGUUCCG